UAAAGAGUUCUAUAACUCCCAAACCCAUGUGAACAUACCUAACGUUGCCUCGGCAGGUCGCACCUACCUUGUAGCACCCUACCCUGUAGGGCCUACCCGGGAGGUGCGGGUAAGCCUGCCGGCGGCCCACCAAACUCUGUUUGAUAUUGAAUUCUGAACCUAUAACUAAAUAAGUUAAAACUUUCAACAACGGAUCUCUUGGUUCUGGCAUCGAUGAAGAACGCAGCGAAAUGCGAUAAGUAAUGUGAAUUGCAGAAUUCAGUGAAUCAUCGAAUCUUUGAACGCAUAUUGCGCCCAUUAGUAUUCUAGUGGGCAGGACCGUUCGAGCGUCAUUUCAACCCUUAAGCCUUCGUUGCUUAGUGUUGGGAGCCUACGGCAACGUAGCUCCUCAAAGUUAGUGGCGGAGUUGGUUCACACUCUAGACGUAGUAAUUUUUUAUCUCGCCUAUUAGUUGGACUAAUCCCCUGCCGUAAAACCCCCAAUUUAUAUCAAGGUUGACCUCGAAUCGGUUCAGACAAACUCGCUAAAUUGAAGCAUCUUAGUCAGCGAAGGAAAAGAAACCAACAGGGAUUGCCCUAGUAACGGCGAGUGAAGCGGCAACAGCUCAAAUUUGAAAUCUGGCCCUCGGGUCC
rnacentral:rRNA from 1 species